CGGAAUGUAGCGUAGUGUGGUAGCGCGCGGGUUUUGGGUACUCGCGGUCACAGGGUCGACUCCUGGCAGUCCGA
rnacentral:tRNA from 1 species